rnacentral:rRNA from 1 species
UACGAAGGUGGCAAGCGUUGUUCGGAUUUACUGGGCGUACAGGGCGCGUAGGCGGUUGGAUAAGCCCUCCGUGAAAUCUCCAGGCUUAACCUGGAAAGUGCAGAGGGGACUGUUCAGCUAGAGGAUGGGAGAGGAGCGCGGAAUUCCCGGUGUAGCGGUGAAAUGCGUAGAGAUCGGGAGGAAGGCCGGUGGCGAAGGCGGCGCUCUGGAACAUUUCUGACGCUGAGGCUCGAAAGCGUGGGGAGAAAACAGG